AUGCGUCCGUAUAAUUUCUUUGCUACUACCUUACAUUACAUGAUACCAUCACUUAUAAUUGAUUUAAAAACUCAUUUGCUUGGAUAUGAUGAUAUAUACACUGUUAAUGGCAUUACUCCCAUUUGUGAUGAUCAUAGUUACUUUCCUCGUGCUAGUCCUAUGCUUAAUGAAACAUAUAAUUCCCAUGCUAGUCUUGAGCUUAAUGAUAAAUAUCAUCCUCAUGUUAGUGUUGACCUUGCUGAUUUCUUCCAUCCUAAACAUGUGCUUUAUAGCUAUGCUUAUGUAAUUGGAUAUUCGAUUGAUGACUGGGAGGGUAUUAUCCCUACCACUUGCAUUGUCUCUUUCGUUGAGUGCUCUUUCAGGUUCUUGCUUGUGCAUGAAUCACUACAUGCUGACCAGGUUCGAGGUGACAUUCCUUGGGACCCUGGUGGAUCCUGA
rnacentral:rRNA from 1 species